rnacentral:rRNA from 1 species
GAUGAACGCUGGCGGCGUGCCUAAUACAUGCAAGUCGAGCGAACGGACGAGAAGCUUGCUUCUCUGAUGUUAGCGGCGGACGGGUGAGUAACACGUGGAUAACCUACCUAUAAGACUGGGAUAACUUCGGGAAACCGGAGCUAAUACCGGAUAAUAUUUUGAACCGCAUGGUUCAAAAGUGAAAGACGGUCUUGCUGUCACUUAUAGAUGGAUCCGCGCUGCAUUAGCUAGUUGGUAAGGUAACGGCUUACCAAGGCAACGAUGCAUAGCCGACCUGAGAGGGGGAUCGGCCACACUGGAACUGAGACACGGUCCAGACGCCUACGGGAGGCAGCAGUAGGGAAUCUUCCGCAAUGGGCGAAAGCCUGACGGAGCAACGCCGCGUGAGUGAUGAAGGUCUUCGGAUCGUAAAACUCUGUUAUUAGGGAAGAACAUAUGUGUAAGUAACUGUGCACAUCUUGACGGUACCUAAUCAGAAAGCCACGGCUAACUACGUG